AUUGAACGCUGGCGGCAGGCUUAACACAUGCAAGUCGAGCGGAGAGAGGUAGCUUGCUACUGAUCUUAGCGGCGGACGGGUGAGUAAUGCUCAGGAAUCUGCCUAUUAGUGGGGGACAACAUUUCGAAAGGAAUGCUAAUACCGCAUACGUCCUACGGGAGAAAGCAGGGGAUCUUCGGACCUUGCGCUAAUAGAUGAGCCUAAGUCGGAUUAGCUAGUUGGUGGGGUAAAGGCCUACCAAGGCGACGAUCUGUAGCGGGUCUGAGAGGAUGAUCCGCCACACUGGGACUGAGACACGGCCCAGACUCCUACGGGAGGCAGCAGUGGGGAAUAUUGGACAAUGGGCGCAAGCCUGAUCCAGCCAUGCCGCGUGUGUGAAGAAGGCCUUAUGGUUGUAAAGCACUUUAAGCGAGGAGGAGGCUACUUUAGUUAAUACCUAGAGAUAGUGGACGUUACUCGCAGAAUAAGCACCGGCUUACUCUGUGCCAGCCGCCGCAGUAACAC
rnacentral:rRNA from 1 species